GCACAAGCGGUGGAGCAUGUGGUUUAAUUCGAAGCAACGCGAAGAACCUUACCAAAUCUUGACAUCCUUUGACAACUCUAGAGAUAGAGCUUCCCCUUCGGGGACAAAGUGACAGGUGGUGCAUGGUUGUCGUCAGCUCGUGUCGUGAGAUGUUGGGUUAAGUCCCGCAACGAGCGCAACCCUUAUCUUUAGUUGCCAUCAUUAGGUUGGGCACUCUAGAGAGACUGCCGGUGACAAACCGGAGGAAGUGGGGAUGACGUCAAAUCAUCAUGCCCCUUAUGAUUUGGGCUACACACGUGCUACAAUGGAUGGUACAAAGGGUAGCAAAACCGCGAGGUCAAGCAAAUCCCAUAAAACCAUUCUCAGUUCGGAUUGUAGUCUGCAACUCGACUACAUGAAGCUGGAAUCGCUAGUAAUCGUAGAUCAGCAUGCUACGGUGAAUACGUUCCCGGGCCUU
rnacentral:rRNA from 1 species